rnacentral:rRNA from 1 species
CGGGGUAAACGGGGUUAAAACCCGGGUACCCGGGGUUACGGGGUAAACGGGUAAACCCGUUACGGUCCCGUUGGGUAGGUAGGGGAAGUAACUAGUUAAGUAAAUAGCUGCUAAUACCGCAUAAUGCAACUAAGUCGCAUGGUCGUUUGGUUGCCAAAGAUUUAUCGCUCUGAGAUGGCCUCGCGUCUGAUUAGAUAGUUGGCGGGGUAACGGCCCGCCAAGUCGACGAUCAGUAGCCGGACUGAGAGGUUGGCCGGCCACAUUGGGACUGAGACACGGCCCAGACUCCUACGGGAGGCAGCAG